UGACAAUGUGGUUUGGAACAGACUUGGUGAAGAACAUGGAAACAUCUCUUAAUAAAAUGGCCCCAAACAUCAUCAGGAGUGCAAAAGAAGGAAGUAAAAACAUCUCUACGCCAAUCUCAUUGGAGAGGAAACCACAGAAGGUCUGGUGAGGAAUGCUGCACUUAUGUUAUUGCCAGCAUUAUUUCAAGAAAAUCCCAGCUUCCUUUACUGUGUAAAUAGUGAACCCAAAGGUCCCACACCAACCAUAGUGUUCAACGGCUCUCCUGAUCUUUUCAAAUCUGAAUGUAUCAACUUUAUAAUGGACAAUGUGAACUUAAUAUGUGGAAGACAUUGACAUCACAGGCUGUGGAAUGACUGUGUCACAGGUCGGAGAAGCAGACCGCCCCUGUCGCGGAUCACGCUCCUCCUAGUUCCACCUCGAGGAGGUCCCAAAGCACCCCAAUGACCAGACAAACCAGAGGGGGAGUAUUACGGGGCCAGGGACGUUGGAGGGGUUUCCACGUGACUCCAGCUGGAACACCGCUACAGAGCGUAUCUGGGUGGGUUGGGCACACACCAUUGCGGCGGCCCCUGAUGGCAUCCACAAGGGUCCAAGACCCUCCUAAGCUCCUAGCCAUAGCAGAACUACGUAUUUCAGCACCCGAAGGACUAACAACCCAGCCGGCAUCUGCAGCGUAUAUCCAACGCGAUCAAACUUCACUCUGACAAGUAACUUCCUAUACACAACCACGCCGUCCUUUCGCCCGGACCAGCCCCGCACUCUUUCCGCCCGCUACCUAGCGGUCGCCGGAUCAGCAGAGCCUGCGGACUCUUCGGAGGCUGGUCUUCGUUGUGCUGCCCAAGGCGGAAGUUGACUCGCCCGAAAAUCGACCCUUCCAGUAACUUCUACCUUCUCUCUUUAUAUCCUCCUCCCAGGCGUGGCUCGCCCAACCAUCGCUCGCCACGUCACUCACACAGCUGUGCCUUGUUUCAGCGAGUGCGGGGAUUCCCGGGGAACCCUGAAGUGCCGGUGUCUGUAAAAACUGGUCCAGGCGG